AUUAAACGCUGGCGGCAUGCCUUACACAUGCAAGUCGAACGGCAGCACGGGGGCAACCCUGGUGGCGAGUGGCGGACGGGUGAGUAAAGCAUCGGAACGUAUCCUGGAGUGGGGGAUAACGUAGCGAAAGUUACGCUAAUACCGCAUAUUCUGUGAGCAGGAAAGCAGGGGAUCGCAAGACCUUGCGCUCUGGGAGCGGCCGAUGUCGGAUUAGCUAGUUGGUGGGUAAAGCCUACCAAGGCGACGAUCCGUAGCGGGUCUGAGAGGAUGAUCCGCCACACUGGGACUGAGACACGGCCCAGACUCCUACGGGAGGCAGCAGUGGGAAUUUUGGACAAUGGGCGGAAGCC
rnacentral:rRNA from 1 species